AUUGAACGCUGGCGGCAGGCCUAACACAUGCAAGUCGAACGAGUGGCGGACGGGUGAGUAAUGUCUGGGAACCUGCCUGAUGGAGCGGGAUAACUACUGGAAACGGUAGCUAAUACCGCAUACCAUCGGAUGUGCCCAGAUGGGAUUAGCUAGUUGGUGGGGUAAAGGCUCACCUAGGCGACGAUCCCUAGCUGGUCUGCGAGGAUGACCAGCCACACUGGGACUGAGACACGGUCCAGACUCCUACGGGAGGCAGCAGUAGGGAAUAUUGCACAAUGGGCGCAAGCCUGAUGCAGCCAUGCCGCGUGUAUGAAGAAGGCCUUCGGGUUGUAAAGUACUGUCAGCGGGGAGGCGGUACCCACAGAAAAAGCACCGGCUAACUCCGUGCCAGCCGCCGCGGUAAUUC
rnacentral:rRNA from 1 species